rnacentral:lncRNA from 1 species
GCUCUGUGUCCCUCUGGUCAGGGCUGCGAUGAAGGCGCCAUGUUCUCUCUGCAGCCCUGCUCGCUAGGUAACAUCCGGGGCUGUGAAGGCUGAGAAGUGGCAGGUACUGCACAUCCUGCUGUAUGACAGCCCAGAGAAAGGCCGGGCUAACCCUGGGCAGACCCAGGACAGGAGCUGCCCCCAGCCAGCCCGGCUGCCCCCGGCGGUAAGUUCCCAUCGCUGGCAUUCAGCCCUCUUUCCCGGCUGCAUUCUGCGCACGGCCACGGUCUUCUGACUGUAUCUUUUCCCUUCCAGACCACAUGCGGCCUGUGGGAGCUGAUCGGGGCCUUGGGGCAAGCGGACACGCUGGAGGGAUGCGAGGACGACCUGUUCGCCUCUUGCUUCCUCGCCAUCGCCUGCCCCCCGGCACGGCACCUCUCGGGAGCCCAGCAGGACUUGCCCAGUGACACCAGUCCACGCAGCAUGGCCGUGCAGGCCCUGGCGCGGGUGCUGCGCCUCAGGGGCAGUCAGCCAGCUGUGGAGCUAAUGGACCAGGAGCGAGGCUGGCAGCUGCUGGAGGAGGCCCAGCCCGAGGGGUUCACUCUCCUUAGCAGGGCCAUAGUGACCCACCCAAACCUGGCCCUGAAGAGCAUCCCAAAGCUUCUCCUUCCCAGCCUCCAGGCCAGCCAGGAGGGCGAACGCAUGGCCUGCACUGCCCUGUUCGCAGAGUUCCUCGGCAGCCCCCUGCUGAUGGAGAAAGAGCCCAAGGCGAUGCGGAAGCAGGUUGUGAAGGCCAUGCUGCAGCGGACAGAGGACAGCAACAUCCACGUUUGAGGCAGAAUGCUUGUUACCAGAUGUGCCCAUUACUUUGAGGUAUGCUCAUUUAUUCGGGUUACACUCUGGGGAAGGGGGUUCUGUAAUCCUGUCAAUGUACUGCUUGUGUCACUUGUGUUUUCAUAUGGAGCUUUACUUCUCCUUUCUGCAAGUCCCCUCCCAAUGGAGCUAUCCUGCAGAACCUAGGUCCCUAGGGCUGGAUUACACCCCCCCC